rnacentral:rRNA from 1 species
GUAACAAGGUUUCCGUAGGUGAACCUGCGGAAGGAUCAUUACCAGUAGGAUUGCAAGACGCGCGAGGGGGGUAGGGCAACCUAACCCACCCGAUCGGUCGGAACCGUGCCCACAUACUGCGGGGAGCCUUGCGGCUCUCUCGAGGGGGGCGUGGCGGCUCGUCCGCCCGCCUGUAGACGGGACCUUCCCUUUAGAUGGGGCCUCUCCGCCGUUCUUGCCUUCCACAACCUUCACCCUUGAUUACCCUAGCCUUUGUUGCCUCGGCAGGUCCGCCUGCCAGAGGACACAACCCAAACUACUGUUGUUAACAGCGAAGUCUGAGCUACAAAGCAAUUGUUUAAAACUUUCAACAACGGAUCUCUUGGUUCUGGCAUCGAUGAAGAACGCAGCGAAAUGCGAUAAGUAGUGUGAAUUGCAGAAUUCAGUGAAUCAUCGAAUCUUUGAACGCACAUUGCGCCCUUUGGCAUCCCGAAGGGCAUGCCUGUUCGAGCGUCAUUUCACCAAUCAAGCUUGGCUUGGUGUUGGGUGCCGUCCCGCCUCUAGCGCGCGGACGCUCCCUAAAAUCAUCGGCGGUGCAGCACCGGCUUCGAGCGCAGCAGAUGUUCGCUCUGUGGGUCUGGUGAGGCAGCGGCCGCGACGACAACCUCUAGGUGACCUCGGAUCAGGUAGA